rnacentral:rRNA from 1 species
UACGUAGGGAGCAAGCGUUGUUCGGAUUUACUGGGCGUAAAGGGCGCGUAGGCGGCGUGACAAGUCACUUGUGAAAUCUCCGGGCUUAACUCGGAACGGUCAAGUGAUACUGUCGUGCUAGAGUACAGAAGGGGCAACUGGAAUUCUCGGUGUAGCGGUGAAAUGCGUAGAUAUCGAGAGGAACACCUGCGGCGAAGGCGGGUUGCUGGGCUGAUACUGACGCUGAGGCGCGAAAGCCAGGGGAGCGAACGGG